CAAGACAUAGCUUAAUCAAAAGCACUCAGCUUACACCUGAAAAAUGUCCAAUAAACUAGGGCUGUCUUGA
rnacentral:tRNA from 1 species